UACAGAGGGUGCAAGCGUUAAUCGGAAUUACUGGGCGUAAAGGGUGCGUAGGUGGUUAUUUAAGUCAGAUGUGAAAUCCCUAGGCUCAACCUAGGAAUUGCGUUUGAGACUGGAUAGCUAGAGUGUAGUAGAGGGAAGUGGAAUUUCCGGUGUAGCGGUGAAAUGCGUAGAUAUCGGAAGGAACAUCAGUGGCGAAGGCGACUUCCUGGACUGUUACUGACACUGAGGCACGAAAGCGUGGGGAGCGAACAGG
rnacentral:rRNA from 1 species